rnacentral:lncRNA from 1 species
UCCCUUCCAUAAUCCCAACCACAGUGGGGGUUGAAAAAUUCCCAACUCGCCGUAAGAACAAAGCAGGCCUUGCGACUUUGUCAAACAGCUGAUCAAAACGGAUGAGGUUGAAUCCUUCCUGGUCACAUCACCAUCUGCACCUUUCACUCUUUCAUUGAUUCCCAUAGUUGGCUUUCCGUCCUCCUUUUUGCUUGCAACCUG